rnacentral:rRNA from 1 species
UAAUACGUAGGGGGCAAGCGUUAUCCGGAUUUACUGGGUGUAAAGGGAGCGUAGACGAGGAAGGUGGGGAUGACGUCAAAUCAGCACGGCCCUUACGUCUAGGGCGACACACGUGCUACAAUGGCCGGUACAGAGGGCAGCUACGCCGCGAGGCGAUGCAAAUCUCGAAAGCCGGUCUCAGUUCGGAUCGGAGUCUGCAACUCGACUCCGUGAAGUUGGAUUCGCUAGUAAUCGCGCAUCAGCCAUGGCGCGGUGAAUACGUUCCCGGGCCUUGUACACACCGCCCGUCAAGCCAUGAAAGUCCGGGGUACCUGAAGUCCGUGACCGCGAGGAGCGGCCUAGGGUAAAACGGGUGAUUGGGGCUAAGUCGUAACAAGGUAACC